rnacentral:rRNA from 1 species
AACGCGAAGAACCUUACCAGGUCUUGACAUCCCUCUGCCGUCUGUAGAGAUACAGAUUUCCCUUUUGGGACGGAGGAGACAGGUGGUGCAUGGUUGUCGUCAGCUCGUGUCGUGAGAUGUUGGGUUAAGUCCCGCAACGAGCGCAACCCUCGUCGUUAGUUACCAGCAUUUUAGGAUGGGGACUCUAACGAGACUGCCAGCGAUAAGCUGGAGGAGGGCGGGGAUGACGUCAAAUCAUCAUGCCCCUUGUGACCUGGGCUACACACGUGCUACAAUGGGUGGUACAAAGGGAAGCGAAGCGGUGACGUGGAGCAAAUCCCAAAAAGCCACUCUCAGUUCGGAUUGUAGUCUGCAACUCGACUACAUGAAGUCGGAAUCGCUAGUAAUCGUGGAUCAGCAUGCCACGGUGAAUACGUUCCCGGGUCUUGUACACACCG